rnacentral:tRNA from 1 species
UCUGCCCUGCGCCGCCCGGACGGGACGGCACGCUCCGGCCGUGCCGCCGCCUCGUUCGGACCGCGGGAGCCGGA